UUUCUACUCCCUCCGUCUGGAAAUACUUGUCAAAGAAAUGCAUAAAAAUGAAUGUAUCUAGAACUAAUAUACAUCUAGAUACAUCCAUUCCUCCGUCGAGUAUUUUGGGACGGAGGGAGUACAAG
rfam:Triticum aestivum genome assembly, contig: Triticum_aestivum_CS42_TGACv1_scaffold_230549_3B